CUUCCCCAUGAUUGAUUUAGAGAAAUUAAAACUUAUUGUAAAACUGAUUUAUCAGAUAUUUACUGUUUUUUGUGUGGUUUUUGAAUGUUUUUUAUACUUAUAGAACUCUGUGACUCUUUGAAUAAUAAAGAGUCUAUUAUUUUGGUCAUUGAGGAAUAAUUAUAGAAUAUUUCUUAUCUAGUACUUUUGGGUUAGUAAGGUUCAAGUGAGAAGCAUCCUAAGUUUUGCUUUGUUAGUGUUUAGCAUUUACUCAAAGAAAUGAUAUAUGAAAUUUUACAAGCAAUAUAAGAAAGAAAUGGAAUCUGAAAAUAUACCUAUAUUAAGCCAUAUGCAUUUAUCAUUGUGAUAUAUUAAAUUAAGGAAAAGGAAAUGGAGAAGAUUGAUUAUUAUUUUUUUUUAUUUUGGAAGACAAAUCAGACUAAUUCCACAACAUGUCUGAUUUUAAAUGUUUGGCUUUCUCCAUGUCAAAAAUGUUUUCUCUUUUAUACACUUUACUGAGGUUAUUAAAUAUUACUCUCCAGGACUAAAGUACCAUUAGAUACUCUCCAAGUUAGAAAGAUGAAUAAAGCCCUUGGAAUUAGAGCAAGAUUACACAUUUAAGAGUGAUGAAAAUGAGUUUGGACUUCUUCAAUUCAUCAAGCCUCUUGAUGCCAUAAGGAAAAUCUACCAGCCUGAUUAAAACUGAAUGUCUUGGAUUUGGGGGGGGGAAGUCAAUUCAAGGGACAGAUUUAGAUGUCACAGAGUUGGUAGCUCAAAUUCUGGGAUUAGAGUAGAUCACUCAAGAAAAGGAAGUAGAAUAAGAAAUGAAACGUCUAGGGAAAUCAUACAAAUAAAGAGAAAGAAAAACAGAGAAAAACAAGCAGAAUUUGAAGAGUUAAGAGACUGUGAAAAUGAUAGACAAGAAAGAAGCAAUUUUAAGAAAAUGAAGAGCUCAAAUAUCUAAUGUUUCAUGUUGUUUUUGGCAUAUUGAGUGAGAAAGGGGAAUUUAGUUAAUUAAUUCAUGGAUAUAUUUAAUAGCUUUAAAGAGAUAUACCUUGAGCCCUAAAAUAUUGAAGCCUGAAUGGAAAAUAAAAUGGAAACUGCAGUUAAGACUGUCAAAGAUUAUUUCAAUACA
rnacentral:lncRNA from 1 species